rnacentral:rRNA from 1 species
AUUGAACGCUGGCGGCAGGCCUAACACAUGCAAGUCGAGCGGAGCGGCGGACGGGUGAGUAAUGCCUAGGAAUCUGCCUGGUAGUGGGGGAUAACGUCCGGAAACGGGCGCUAAUACCGCAUACUACCAGAUGAGCCUAGGUCGGAUUAGCUAGUUGGUGGGGUAAAGGCCUACCAAGGCUACGAUCCGCAACUGGUCUGAGAGGAUGAUCAGUCACACUGGACAUGAGACACGGUCCAGACUCCUACGGGAGGCAGCAGUGGGGAAGAUUGGACAAUGGGCGAAAGCCUGAUCCAGCCAUGCCGCAUGUGUGAAGAAGGUCUUCGGGUUGUAAAGUACUGUCAGCGAGGAGGCGUUACUAGCAGAAUAAGCACCGGCUAACUCCGUGCCAGCAGCCGCGGUAAUUC